rnacentral:lncRNA from 10 species
GGACUCUUCACCAGCCCCGUCUCCAUCGCCCGGCUGCCAUCACAGCUGGCAUCGACACUGACCCUCCAGCUGCAGCACCAGGUCACCACCCUGCCCCUCAUCCAUCCUCUUCCUCCACGCGUGAUGAAUGAGCGUUUCUCAUUCAAUCAUUCUCAGAGGCAGCACAGCAUGGCCAGUAGGAAAGAGGAUGCGGGAGCCAGACUGCCUGGCUCCACCACCCACCAGCUGCUUUUAUUCCCUGCCUGCUGUAGUUCCCCGGGUCGUAACAUGGGGAUACAAAUAAUAUUUUCCUCAUCAGGUCACCGGGAGGCUUAAAUAAGCCCAUACUGUAAAGUGCUUACAGGGCCUGCCAUAUACUAAGUACCCCAUAAUUACUGUCAUUCAUUCAUUCAUUCAUUCAUUCAUGCAUUCUAUCCUGCCUGUUUCUGAAAGAGUUGAGAUGACUCACGAUGGAAAUGCAAUGAUAAUAGGACUUUAAAGUCAGGUUAAAAGAACACAAGCCUAGGCUGCAGAGGAGAGGGUGCCCCAGAACCUGGGCCAAGCGAGCCUCACCUGAACACAACCUCCCGGCGUCUCGUCCAACACAUAAAGGCUGCUGGUAUCAAUUCUCCUUUUCCGAUAAAAGGAAGCACAACAGCUUUCCAGCAGAAUACAAGAUGUUUUUCUGGUUCAAACUUUAUGAAUGACAUUAAACAAUGCAAUGGGUAGCCUCCCCCUCGCCUCACCCUGUCCACCUUUUUAAUCAACUCCUGAGAAAUGGGGUCUGCUCUUCAUGCCAUCCCACUCCCCAUUUCCAGACCCUGGGGAAACCUGCAGUCCGAGAGAGCCUGACAGCCCCCAGAGCAAAACCUUCAGCUGUCCCAGGAGAAGGACACUCGGGGAGCCAGCCAGAGCUGGCUGCUUUCAGCACCAGGGGACAACUCUAGGAAAAAGCCGAGCCACUGAGUCAAGGAGGGCCUUCCCUCCGCUGCAGACAGCAAGCCCCUUCCAGGCGCUUCCCCGCAGCUGCAGCAGCAAGCGCCCCUGUGACAGGCCGGGAAUGCUCACGGAGAAAACCCAGAGCUGUCUACACUUCCCCUCACUGGCUUCCCCUUCUCUCAGCAGCGGCAGGCUCAGGAAAGCUCCUGAUUCCCGGAGGACCCCUUACACCAGCACCGUGAGCCGAUCGACGGCAGAGUUUCUCCAGCUCCUAAGUCUUCAGUGACUCCCCACUGCCCAAGGAAAACAGAAGACACCUGAGGCCUUGCACAGUGGACCUCACUCUCAUCCCUCCCCCAAGAGAAUGCUCUGCCUCGAGCCGAAGGCCGUGGGCUCUGCAGACUCCAGGCCUCUUCUUCCCAGGGCGGUCUUCCCUUUCCCUACACUCAAGACACAGCCCAAGUCCCACCUCCUCCAUUGCAAGGGACACCACGGUCUGAAGUCCUGCUGGAGAAAGAGCCUAGUUUUUCAGCCACAGGUAGGCCUGAGUUAGAGUCUCAGCUCAGUUCCAAUCCCAUUAGCUGGUUGCAAGUCAUUAACUUUGUCAACCUUCAGUAAAUGGAAAUCAGGCCCACGCUGUAGGUGCCUGGGGGUGCUGAUGGUUGAGUGGAAUCUGUUCUUUUGACCUUCCCAUCAUCCUUGCCCCUUUCUUUUGGUGAUGUCCCCUGGAUUUUCUGUUGGGUAUGUGGUCCAGGGGUGACUGACCUCACUCCUGGUUCCAGCAUAAGAUCAUGACUGAGGCCAGGUCAAUAAGAAUAUUCCCUCACCACGGCCACAGAGUCAGAUUCCCAGGGAUGAACUUAUGACUCAAAACAGGCUGGUGGGAACACACUUGGGGUGUUAGCUGGAGUUAUUGAAGCUUUCUUUCCCACUGGAGUCACUAGGUAGAUAGAAGGAAAGCUGAAGCCUUUAGCCACUGCUGUGGGUUGAAAUGUGUACCCCAAAAAGAUAUGCUCAAGUUCUAAUCCCCUGCACCUUUGGAGGUGGCCUUAUUUGGAAAAAGGGUCUUUGCAGAUGUCGGCAAGUAAAGAUGAAGCCAUCUUGGAUUAGGGUGGCUUAUGGCUUCUGUCCAAUACCUUGUGUCCUUCUAAGAAGACAGAAAUUGAGACACAGACACACACAGGGAAAAGGCCGAGUGAUGACAGCAGCAGAGGUGGGAGCGCGGCAGAUACAAGCCGAGGGAUGCCAAGCAUGGCUGGCACCGCCCAGGAGCCUGGAGAGAGGCAGGGUACAGCCUCCUCUUUAGAGCCUCAAAAACACCCUACCCACACCCUGACUUCAGACUUCCAGCCUCCACAACUGGGAGAGAAUCACUUUCUGUUGUGUUAAGCUACACGAGUUCGGGGUGAUUUGUUACAGCAGUUGCAGGAAACGAACACACACACCAAAUGGAGAGACUGUGUCUGAGACUAAGGCCAGCACCAUGGAAUCAGAGCCACCAGGAGGGACACGUGGACUCUCGGCCCUGUGGUCACUCUUGGCUCCCCCAGCGGCUGAAGCACGAAGUCUACCGGACUUGCUAGACUUUCCCAUUACCUGGACCAAUAUAUUCUCUGUUUUACUUAAGCUG